GGAAUAUUGGACAAUGGGCGGAAGCCUGAUCCAGCCAUCCCGCGUGCAGGAUGACUGCCCUCUGGGUUGUAAACUGCUUUUGCAGGGGAAGAAACCCCCGAACUUGCUUCGGGGCUGACGGUACCCUGCGAAGAAGCACCGGCUAACUCCGUGCCAGCAGCCGCGGUAAUACGGAGGGUGCGAGCGUUAUCCGGAAUCACUGGGUUUAAAGGGUGCGUAGGCGGCCCGUUAAGUCAGGGGUGAAAUCCCGCAGCUCAACUGCGGAACUGCCCUUGAUACUGGCGGGCUCGGAUUGGCGCGAGGCGGGCGGAACGUGGCAUGUAGCGGUGAAAUGCUUAGAUAUGCCACAGAACACCGAUUGCGUAGGCAGCUUGCCAGAGCCAUAUCGACGCUGAGGCACGAAAGCGUGGGGAGCG
rnacentral:rRNA from 1 species